GUGAAAAGGAGUCAUGAAAGCAAAACCAAGGUGAAGCUCUUUCAGGAUCUUCAUGCUCAAGUUCAGCAGUCUUGUCUCUGAGAAGAGCUAGAACCUUCCAUUGUAGUCCUACGCUUCCUAUGCUUUCCAAUGUCCUUGGAGGAUCUGCCAGAAGGAGAUCAGAUUUGCCCUGAAAUCCAUCCCAUUUCGCCUUUCAGCUCAGAACUGACCUUGCUUUUUUUUCACUGCCAUCAUUAACCACAUUGAUUCCCUGCAUCAAGGAUGCAGCUAUCUAGUUGUACUGCUGCGUGAAAAUUAUGAUGUCAUUUUAGACCCUCCACUGUGAUUUUUAGGACAACGAGAACCAUGAAUCCAGCAAAAGUGGCUCCCAGUCCCACUACCACAGUGGAUGAUCCCUCCUCACCCCCAAGAGAUAGGUGAAAGAGAAAUAGUCCUUAACAGAGAAGUGAAACCAGCAUCAGCAGUAACAUUAAUGGGGUGCAGCUUUGAUUGUCACACAGCCAUCAAAUGAAAAGAUGAUCCAGAGACCCCUCACCCACUGCACUGCCCCUGGCAAGAACUGAUCCUCCCUACCCCUGACGUGUAAACUGAGUACAGGAGGUGAAAGCCUUGCCCACGGCAACACAGCAUGCCACUGGCGUGGGAUGGACACACAGUGUGAGGCCAAACCCAACCCUACAGCAGUCACUGGGAACUCAACAGCAGAGCCAAAAUCAUGGAAUCAUAGAAUCGUUAAGGUCUAGCAAUCUGCUUUUGCCAUCACUUUGUUAGCAUGGAUUCAGAAUCUCUGUCUUCAAGUGAUUUCCUACCAGACAGAAAAGAAGAUGGAUCCUGUCUGGAGAGCAAGUGUCUGUCACAUAGAAGAGGAGUCUCAUUCCAAUAGAAGUACUCAUGAGGUAUUAUUACUCAAUGUCUUAAUGAUGUCAGAAACUUUGAUCUGAUAUUGCUACCUUCCUCCCUGUUGGAUAAUAAACCAUACUGGUAGAGAAUGCCAUAGUACUGGUACUGGUGGAGUAGGAACAGUGAUGUAUAAGGGUGUAAUUAAGUUAAGGGUAUAAUUGGGGGGUGUAACAAGGCAAGGGAUCUUAAGGAUUCUCAUGGGCAGGAUGCAAUAGUCUUUACUUAGAUAAAGUUUAAGCUAUGGAGUAUCAGCCAUUUGCAGUCAAAAUUGUGUCACAUCUCUUGGACAAGCUACAAUGGAAGGUUGUUAAACACUGAUGGCUUCCAUUCAAGUGGAAGCACAUUUGGACAAUGGGAUGCCUGGACCUAUGGAAGGCAGCUCAGCCAAAUGUGUCUGCAGGGACAGCUCUUAGAACAAUGUAAUUUCCCUAGAAGAACAAAGAGAUCAGAUGUUCGCGCUAGCUCUGAAAAGCACAAAGCUUCAGGGGAACUCACAAGGAAACCCAGGCCAACUCCUCUGCAACAUGGAUCUAGAAAACACAUUGCCUUCUAGCCAAUACAACUGUGCCAGCCAAAUCUUGUAGAUGUAUUCAUAGUGAUCUAAAAGAGAUGCCUCAGUGUAUGGUAACUGCUGACUCACAGCCUAAACCACUGAUUGAGCAUCUGGGGAAAGGACCCAGUCAGCCC